rnacentral:misc_RNA from 1 species
GUAGGUAAACCUGCAGAAGGAUUAUUACCUUUUAGUACAGAAGCGUUGUAUUAGUUAAGUUGUGCUAGUUAAGUCUCGCUAACAAGUAGAAUUCCUAGUAGCAACUCUCUUCAUAAUUCUCCCUAUCUAUUAUCCUUGUCUUUUGCGUACUAUUAUUUCCUCAGUAGGCUUGCCUACUAGUUAGACAACCUUAUAACCUAUUUAAUUUUCAAUCAGCGUCUAAAAUAAUAUAAUAAUUACAACUUUCAACAACAGAUCUCUUAGUUCUA